AUCUCUCCAAACCCUCUGACCUCCGGUGUAACGCCGCCAUCUUCCGCUACCUGCCACCGUCCGCCUCCGGCUGGAAAUCACCUCCGGCGACGCUGAUUGUCCAAUGCUCCCAAAUUUACACCAUAGCCUCCUCUCCUCCUCCUCAUUACAGAUCCUAGCUCUGUUCCCUUCAAAACCCCCCUCCAAUCGGUUGAAUAUUUAAAAUAGUGGUUGCCGUGUCCGGUGGGGCCACCGCCAAAUCUCACCAAAUUAACACCUUAUGCCCUCCUUACCCUCCUAUUUCUGUAUCCACCAUCAGUAUCCUUUGAGUCUCUCUCAAAGUUCUCGAAUUUUAAAUCAAAGAGCGUCGGAACCCUAGAAUGUCAAAGUGGUUUAAAUUCUUCCCAAUUUCUUGAGUCCAGAGUUUGAUUCGAGUCACGAAAUAAUAUUUUCGCUUUUCCUUGGUGAAGAACAAAUGUUAACAUCAUUCUGAGGCUCAAAUCGGGGCCCAACCUUGUUCAAUCAUGC
rnacentral:lncRNA from 1 species